AGAGUUUGAUCCUGGCUCAGGAUGAACGCUGACAGAAUGCUUAACACAUGCAAGUCGAUUCRAKUUACCUUCGGGUAWYGAGGAUGGCGGACGGGUGAGUAACGCGUAAGGAACUUGCCUCUUGGUCUGGGACAACUGUUGGAAACGACAGCUAAUACCGGAUAUUAUGAGAUUCUCGCAUGGGAAACUUAUGAAAGCUAUAUGCGCCAAGAGAGAGCCUUGCGUUCCAUUAGCUAGUUGGUGGGGUAACGGCCCACCAAGGCGACGAUGGAUAGCCGGCCUGAGAGGGUGAACGGCCACAAGGGGACUGAGACACGGCCCUUACUCCUACGGGAGGCAGCAGUGGGGAAUAUUGGACAAUGGGCCACAAGCCUGAUCCAGCAAUUCUGUGUGCACGAUGAAGGUCUUCGGAUUGUAAAGUGCUUUCAGUUGGGAAGAAGAAAGUGACGGUACCAACAGAAGAAGCGACGGCUAAAUACGUGCCAGCAGCCGCGGUAAUACGUAUGUCGCAAGCGUUAUCCGGAUUUAUUGGGCGUAAAGCGCGUCUAGGCGGAAAAAUAAGUCUGAUGUUAAAAUGCGGGGCUCAACUCCGUAUUGCGUUGGAAACUGUUUUUCUAGAGUACUGGAGAGGUGGGCGGAACUACAAGUGUAGAGGUGAAAUUCGUAGAUAUUUGUAGGAAUGCCGAUGGAGAAGUCAGCUCACUGGACAGAUACUGACG
rnacentral:rRNA from 1 species